AAGGAUUCCACGCCUUUGCCAACAAGCACUGUAGCAAAUUGGAAUUUCUCUCAUUAAUUUCAAUGGCUUUGUUUCAAGUCAUUAGUGAUGAGAGGACUUACCGUAUCUUCAAUUAAGACACACGUCACUUCAGACAUUGCGAUCUGGAUAAUGCUGGGGCAAAGCUCACACACGGGAAAGGAUACAUGCACAUUCAUGAGCAUCACAAACCAAAUCAACAGUACUCCAGUGUUUUCUGAGAUCCUACCUGCAGAAUUGCCUUCAGCUCUGGGUUCCCAGCACAAGAAGGACAUGAACCUAUUGGAGUGGGUCCAGAAGAGGGCAGUGAGGAUCGUCAGAGGGCUGGAGCCCUUCUGAUGAUCCUCUCCUUCUUUGAGGAGUCAAAUGAAGGGAGCUGGGCUUGUACAGCCUGGAGAAGAGAAGGCUCCAGGGAGAACUCAUUGCAGCCUUCCAGUACUUCAAGAGGGCCUACAAGAAAAGAUGGGGAGGGACUCUUUACUGGGGAAUGUGGUGAUAGGACAAGAGGGGAGAUUUAGGUUUGAUAUAUGAAAUUCUUCUCUAUGACAGUGGUAAGGCAGAGCAACAGGCUGCUCAAAGAAGCUGUGGAUGCCCCAGCUCCAGAGGCAUUCAAGGCCAGGUUGGAUGGGGCCCUGAGCAGCCUGAUAGGGUGGGUGGCAGUCCUGCCCACAGCAGGGGGAGUUGAAACUGAAUGAUCUUAAGAUGUCUUCCAACCCAAGCCAUUGUAUGAUUCUGUGUCUGAUUUGAAAAUGUCAACAUUCUGGCAGUUUAAAACCUUUCUCCCAUACACUCAAAAUAUUUUCCAAUUUGAAAACCCUGUCCAGUAUUUGUGUUUCCAAAACAAUUCAUAUUUUGUGAAAAGAGCCAUUUUUAAAAUAAAAUAAUUUUU
rnacentral:lncRNA from 1 species